AAGCAGCUGUAAAUAAUGGAAUAGCCGGGAGUGUGGGGGAGAGAUGCUGAUUCUGUGCUACAGAACUGAAGUAACGCAAAUUGCAAUCUAAAAGGAGGACCCCUUAAGACCAUUAAGUCCAGGGUCUAAACUCAAUUAGCUGCACUACUGGUCUUUAUCAUUCCACAUUCAGAAGCAGACUGGAGUGGCAGUUGACUCUUCCUUCAACAAUGGCAAUGGGCUGGCAUCCUGGACUUCACCUUAUGCAGCAGAAAACAUAGGCUGCUACACCCACACCAAUGAGGAGGAGGAAGAUAAUCGGGAGAACCGCCUUCAGAACUCUGCCCUGUGUUGAUGCCAGACUGUCUUCUUGCUCUACUAAUGGGG